rnacentral:rRNA from 1 species
UGGGGAAUAUUGGACAAUGGGGGCAACCCUGAUCCAGCCAUGCCGCGUGGGUGAGAAGGCCUUCGGGUUGUAAAGCCCUGUCGUAGGGGAAGAAUUCUGACGGUACCCUACAAGAAAGCACCGGCUAACUCCGUGCCAGCAGCCGCGGUAAUACGGAGGGUGCAAGCGUUGCUCGGAAUUACUGGGCGUAAAGCGCACGCAGGCGGUUUGGAAGGUCGGAUGUGAAAGCCCUGGGCUCAACUCAGGAACUGCAUCCGAAACCAUCAGACUUGAGGGUGAGAGAGGGUGGUGGAAUUCCAGGUGUAGAGUUGAAAUUCGUUGAUAUCUGGAGGAACACCGGCGGCGAAGGCGGCCACCUGGCUCAUUUCUGACGCUCAUGUGCGAAAGCGUGGGGAGCAAA